rnacentral:rRNA from 1 species
GCGAUCUCGCCUUGAAGAUCGGAGUGCUUGCACUCUGUGAAACAAGAUACAGGCUAGCGGCGGACGGGUGAGUAACACGUGGGUAACCUGCCCAAGAGAUCGGGAUAACACCUGGAAACAGAUGCUAAUACCGGAUAACAACAGAUGAUGCCUAUCAACUGUUUAAAAGAUGGUUCUGCUAUCACUCUUGGAUGGACCUGCGGUGCAUUAGCUAGUUGGUAGGGUAACGGUCUACCAAGGCGAUGAUGCAUAGCCGAGUUGAGAGACUGAUCGGCCACAUUGGGACUGAGACACGGCCCAAACUCCUACGGGAGGCAGCAGUAGGGAAUCUUCCACAAUGGACGCAAGUCUGAUGGAGCAACGCCGCGUGAGUGAAGAACGGUUUCGGCUCGUAAAGCUCUGUUGUUGGUGAAGAAGGACAGGGGUAGUAACGGACCUUUGUUUGACGGUAAUCAAUUAGAAGGUCACGGCUAACUACGUGCCAGCAGCCGCGGUAAUACGUAGGUGGCAAGCCGUUGUCCGGAUUUAUUGGGCGUAAAGCGAGUUGCACGCGGCUCGAUAAGUCUGAUGUGAAAGCCUUCGGCUCAACCGGAGAAUUGCAUCAGAAACUGUCGAGCUUGAGUACAGAAGAGGAGAGUGGAACUCCAUGUGUAGCGGUGAAAUGCGUAGAUAUAUGGAAGAACACCGGUGGCGAAGGCGGCUCUCUGGUCUGUUACUGACGCUGAGGCUCGAAAGCAUGGGUAGCGAACAGGAUUAGAUACCCUGGUAGUCCAUGCCGUAAACGAUGAGUGCUAAGUGUUGGGAGGUUUCCGCCUCUCAGUGCUGCAGCUAACGCAUUAAGCACUCCGCCUGGGGAGUACGACCGCAAGGUUGAAACUCAAAGGAAUUGACGGGGGCCCGCACAAGCGGUGGAGCAUGUGGUUUAAUUCGAAGCAACGCGAAGAACCUUACCAGGUCUUGACAUCCAUAGCCAGUCUAAGAGAUUAGAUGUUCCCUUCGGGGACUAUGAGACAGGUGGUGCAUGGCUGUCGUCAGCUCGUGUCGUGAGAUGUUGGGUUAAGUCCCGCAACGAGCGCAACCCUUGUCAUUAGUUGCCAGCAUUAAGUUGGGCACUCUAAUGAGACUGCCGGUGACAAACCGGAGGAAGGUGGGGAUGACGUCAAGUCAUCAUGCCCCUUAUGACCUGGGCUACACACGUGCUACAAUGGACGGUACAACGAGAAGCGACCCUGUGAAGGCAAGCGGAUCUCUGAAAGCCGUUCUCAGUUCGGAUUGCAGGCUGCAACUCGCCUGCAUGAAGCUGGAAUCGCUAGUAAUCGCAAAUCAGCACGUUGCGGUGAAUACGUUCCCGGGCCU